rnacentral:piRNA from 1 species
UUAGUAGAGACGGGGUUUCGCCAUGUUGCA